rnacentral:tRNA from 1 species
GGGUCGUUAGCUCAGCGGUAGAGCAUCUCGUUUACACCGAGGAGGUCGACAGUUCGAUCCUGUCACGACCCACCA